ensembl:miRNA
GUGGGAGGAUUGCUUGAGCCCAGGAGUAUGAGGCUGCAGUGAGCUGUGAUCAUGCCACUGCACUCCAGCCUGAGUGACAGAGUGAGACCCUGUCUCA